AUUGAACGCUGGCGGCAUGCCUUACACAUGCAAGUCGAACGGUAACAGGUCUUCGGAUGCUGACGAGUGGCGAACGGGUGAGUAAUACAUCGGAACGUGCCUAGUAGUGGGGGAUAACUACUCGAAAGAGUGGCUAAUACCGCAUGAGAUCUACGGAUGAAAGCAGGGGAUCGCAAGACCUUGUGCUACUAGAGCGGCCGAUGGCAGAUUAGGUAGUUGGUGGGAUAAAAGCUUACCAAGCCGACGAUCUGUAGCUGGUCUGAGAGGACGAUCAGCCACACUGGGACUGAGACACGGGCCAGACUCCUACGGGAGGCAGCAGUGGGGAAUGUUGGACAAUGGGCGCAAGCCUGGUCCAGCAAUGCCGCGUGCAGGAUGAAGGCCUUCGGGUUGUAAACUGCUUUUGUACGGAACGAAAAGCCCUGGGUUAAUACCCUGGGGUCAUGACGGUACCGUAAGAAUAAGCACCGGCUAACUACGUGCCAGCCGCCGCGGUAAUAC
rnacentral:rRNA from 1 species